AUACGGAGGGUGCAAGCGUUACUCGGAAUCACUGGGCGUAAAGCGCGCGCAGGCGGCCAUUUAAGUUGGAUGUGAAAGCCUACGGCUCAACCGUAGAACUGCAUCCAAAACUAUUAGGCUAGAGUGUGGGAGAGGAAGAUGGAAUUAGUUGUGUAGGGGUAAAAUCCGUAGAGAUAACUAGGAAUACCAAAAGCGAAGGCAAUCUUCUGGAACAUUACUGACGCUGAGGCGCGAAAGCGUGGGGAGCAAACAGGAUUAGAAACCCCAGUAGUCC
rnacentral:rRNA from 1 species